GAAGGGGGCUAGCGUUGCUCGGAAUCACUGGGGCGUAAAGGGCGCGUAGGCGGCCAUUCAAGUCGGGGGUGAAAGCCUGUGGCUCAACCACAGAAUUGCCUUCGAUACUGUUUGGCUUGAGUAUGGUAGAGGUUGGUGGAACUGCGAGUGUAGAGGUGAAAUUCGUAGAUAUUCGCAAGAACACCGGUGGCGAAGGCGGCCAACUGGACCAUUACUGACGCUGAGGCGCGAAAGCGUGGGGAGCAAACAGGAUUAGAUACCCUGAUAGUCCACGCCGUAAACGAUGAAUGCCAGCUGUUGGGGUGCUUGCACCUCAGUAGCGCAGCUAACGCUUUAAGCAUUCCGCCUGGGGAGUACGGUCGCAAGAUUA
rnacentral:rRNA from 1 species